GGACUACAGGGGUUUCUAAUCCUGUUUGCUCCCCAUGCUUUCGCGCCUCAGCGUCAGUCUCAGCCCAGUAAACCGUCUUCACCACCGGUGUUCUUCCACAUAUCUACGCAUUUCACCGCUACACGUGGAAUUCCGUUUACCCUAACUGAACUCUAGUCUUGCAGUCUCAAAUGCAGCUCCGAGGUUGAGCCUCGGAAUUUCACAUCUGACUUACAUAACCGCCUACGCGCCCUUUACGCCCAGUAAUUCCGAUCAAUGCUUGCACCCUCCGUAUUACCGCGGCUGCUGGCAC
rnacentral:rRNA from 1 species